AAGGGAUGAAUUCAAACCGUUGUUAGGGCAUUUCCUGUUUCUGUUGGAGAGACACCCUCCACCUGAAAUUAUCUGUGACUCUGUGAGAGAGUGGGAGUGGUCUGGAAUUGGGCCUAUAAAACGUUUAAUCCUGCUUUUAAACAUAACAUGCGCGCUUUUUCUAAACCUUCCCCUAUGUCGCAAAGUGGAAAUUCAACGGAGCGGCAGAUCCGAGAGCUGCAGCAUGCCAUCCAGGAAAACAAUCGCAAACUGGUUGAUGUCAAGCAGAAAAGACUGCGUGCCGAUGAAGACCUAAUUCAGUGUCACAGAGAAAUUAAGAAGAGAGUGGUUUUGAUGGUUGAAAAACAUGAAGUUGUUGAUGCAUUGGGGACAUUUGGUCCUCUACUGCAAGAAGAAAAGCACCUUUCUGAACAACUGAAUGGUCAGGCCUCUGCAGACAGGAAUGAUUUGCAGGAAAGGAGCGAGCGCAUCACAAACAAGGCAAAAAGCCUCACUGCUGAAAUUCUGAAGGUGAAAGAACGUCUGGCAGAGGCAAAAGCUCGUAACACGGCUGCACAAGCUUUGAUUCAAACACAAAACAACAGAUCAAAGAGAAACCAAAGUAAAACCAAGUGAAUAAAAAUGAUAAUGAUUGUAGAUUACAUGCCCAUGUGUUAUUUUAUUUUAAAUUGCAUUUGAUAUUUAUAAUUGUUGUAUAUAUUUGUUGUUGCACCUAAUAAAGUCUUUGUUCUAAA